AGUUAUAAGCACAUAUUGCCGGGACGGUUACAAAGACGGUGACGGUAGCCCCUGUGUGUCUAGCACUUCACCUUCAGAAAAACACUUUCAAACGGAAAAUGAAACUGGGCGGCCUGGCCAGGCACAUUCUGGCUGCCGCUCUCAGGUCCCCGCCGCAGCCCUUGAUGCUGGGCUGGAACGGACACGGGUCCUCUCCCGUGGACUCUGGGCACCUGAGUCACGGAGGCGUUGCGUCUGCACCGUCCCCACGGCAGCGUCUGGCCCUCCGAUCCCGGCACCUUCCUACAGAGGAGACAUUUCCCCAGGGUGCGAGCGUGUUUCCUGGCGUUCCGAAAACAUUUUUGCCAUUCCUGGAGGGGGUGCCUGCAUCCAGGGUGGAAUGGCAACGAGUGAAGAUUUUGUUGGGUUUGCUUUGAAACAGUGCUGUUUGCACAGGGUCCAGCGGGCCAUUUACAGCCCCUUGAUAACAACAGAUGGGAACAAAUCUACAAAUCAAAUGCGUUUGAACCGAAGUCUCUUUCUUCAAAAAAACGCACAGCCCUUGCACGGGGAUCAGUCUGAAACACAGACAAGACCUUUGCGCGGGGAGCCCGGCAGACUCGGCUCUCGGCUGGUCAGAAAGCCCUUCCUCAAGCCGUGAAAACAGCCCUGGGGACGACUCGGGGCCGACGCCUGUCUCCCAAGAGGAGCAAGUGGAGAAACUUUGCAGGCCCCAUCCUGGCUCCCAGGAGCCCGCCUCUUGCCAGCUUGGCUGAUGGAAACCAGAGCCUGGCAGGGGUGCCAGCCAGCCCUUUGUACCCGUCCCCCUGGCGUCUGGGAGCACGGUGGAGAGGCCUGUGCAGCAGUCAUCCCUCGCCCUGGAAACCUGCAGCCUCAACACUCGUUUGUGCAGCUCGGGGAGAGGACUGCAGGGGUGUGGGGGGAGGCACCUCCUGACCAGGGGAAGCGUCCAGCGAAAAAGCAGCGGAAAAAGCAGUCUCCCAAACCUGGGGGGCCAUGGGGACCACUGAGCCUGCAUGCCCCGUACACCAGUCUCUCUCCAUGAGCCACACGAGGCCACUGAGCCUUUGAAAUGCGGAGUGUGUGAGCGACUGAGAUGUAUGUCUAAAACGCACUCUGGAUUUCAAAGACGCAGCAUGAAAAAAAUGUAAAAUAUCUCAUCAAUAAUUUUGUAUUAAUUACAUACUGAAAUAUGUGUGUGUAUAUAUAUGUAUAUAUAUAUAUCAGAUUAAAUAAAUGGUAUUAUGGCAGUGAAUGUCACCUAUUUUCACUUUUUAAAAACAAAAACUGUGGCUGCUGCCACAUGUUAAAUUGCAGAUGCCGGCUCUGACCGCUGUUACGUACGACUCAGGUGGGUCGGGCAUCAUACACAAAGCAAAAGAGAGGUCACCAGUCCGACUCCUGGUCGGGGCACAUGCCUGGGUUGCGGGCUCGGUCCCGGCUUGGGGUGCAUACAAGAGGCAGUGGAUGAAUGUUUCUCUCUCACAUCAGCGUUUCGUUCUCUUUCUUCCUCCCUUCCCCUCUCCUAAAAAGAAAUAAAAUCUCUUGAAAAACUGCAGAGGCGGCCGUGUGUGUGGCCUGUGGCAUGUUUGUACAGCACAGAGCUGCGUCGGACUGUGGGUAGCGGAGGCUGUGAACUUCCAAGCCGGGAGAAGGCGGAUGGAAGCGGCCAUCACACAUCCUGCCCCGUGACAACCCACAGCCGAGGGCCAGGAAUACGAGGCCCUCGCGGCCCUACACAACCUCGGCCUCAUCGUCGGUAUGGAGCCUUGCACACCCA